GACGAACGCUGGCGGCGUGCUUAACACAUGCAAGUCGAACGGCGAAGCACUAGCUUGUUGGAGUGGCUCAGUGGCGAUCGGGUGAGUAACACGUGAGCAACCUGCUCUAGACUCUGGUAUAAGCGAUGGAAACGGCGCGUACUACUGGAUACGAGACGGGCUCGCAUGGGCACUUUCUGGACUGCUUUGCGGUAGUGGAUGGGCUAGCGGCUUAUCAGCUUGUUGGUGAGGUAAUGGCUCACCAAGGAGACGGAUGGUAGCCGGCCUGUGAGGGAGACCGGCCACACUGGGACUGAGGGACGGCCCAGAGUGCUACGGGGGGCAGCAGGGGGGAAUAUUGCACAAUGGGCGCAAGCCGGAUGCAGCGACGCCGCGGUAGGGAUGACGGCCUUCUGGUUGUGAACCGCAGUCGGCUAAGAAGAAGCGAUAGUGACGGUACCUGCAGAAGAAGCACCGGCUAACUUCGUG
rnacentral:rRNA from 1 species